GGAUUAUAUUAGAAAACUGUGUAUAAAAACCAAAAGAAUCUGCAGUUUCUAAUCAGUUUAAUUUGGAUUAAGCUUCUUAAAACACAAGAAAAAAAAUGAAAUUGUUUGUGAUUUUGAGUGUAAUUUUUGCAUUAUUUGCUGUUUUCGCUGGAGCUACGAGUCCUCCAACUCCAGAUCCAUGCGAUUUCAAAAAUGUACCUAAACCAAGGAAUCAAGAGCAAUUAGAAUCUUUGCAACGUAUGUAUCCAAAGUGCCAAUACCCAGCUGACUAUACACAGUGGCCUUGAAAAUACAUUGACAAAUGAAGAUGACAACAAAAAC